rnacentral:lncRNA from 1 species
CCUUGAAUUUAUAAACAAGGAUAAACAUCUUUAUUGAUUGUCAAGCUGUGUGCCAUCUAGUAUGGUGGCUACUGGCUCUAUGAACUUAUUGAGCACCUUAAAUAUGGUUAGUCCUCAUUGAGAUGUGCUGUAAAUACAAAUUAUACACUAGUUUUAUUUUUUAUUUAUUUAUUUUUAUAUAUUUAUUUUUUAGUUAUAGGUGGACACAAUAUCUUUAUUUUACUUUUUGUGGUGCUGAGGAUUGAACUCAGUGUCUCAUGCAUGGUAGGCACACACUCUACCUCUGAGCCACAACUCCAGUCCCUAUACACUAGUUUUAAUACUUAGAACAAUAAAACAAAAAAUGUAAAAUAUCUUACUGUUUUUUUGUGGUACUGUGAAUUCAACCCAAGACCUUGUGCAUGCUAGACAAAGUUCUACUACUGAGCAGCCUCUCUGCUUAUGAUCACUAAUCUUUAUAUUGGUCAAAACUUUAAAUUAUAAUAUUUGGACAUGUUAGAUCACAUCAACUAUGUUCUUUUUAAAAAAAUUAGUUGUUGAUAGACUUUUAUUUUAUUUAUUUAUCUGCAGUGCUGAGAAUUAAACCCAGGGCCUCAUACAUGCUAGGCAAGCACUCUACCCCUGAGCUACAAUCCAGCCCUAACUAUGUACUUAAAUUGUUCUUACCUGUUUCUUUUUCACUUUUUAAUGUGGAUACUAAAACUUAAAACUACAUUUGUGGCGUGCAUAUUUCUAUUGUACAGGGCUGAUUUAGCCUUUGCCCAUAUAAUAUUCCACAUCCUGUCCAGAUUCAAGAUUCUAUGCCAUUAUUGUGAUUCUGUCUGUAUAAAUUUAUUUCAAUGUCAUUGCAUUCUGAUUGUUACAUCAUUUAUUUUUGAAUAAUUUAGAUGUCCAUGUCACCCAACCAGAUCCUGUGGCAGAUUCCUGAACAGAGCUUCUUCACAAAACCAUUUCUUGGCAUUGUAAUUGGUGGCAUUUUAUCCUUUGGCUGUAUUUUUAUUGAACUUUUUCAUUAUGAAAAGUAUUUGUGGCCUUCCAUGGGCAGUUUCAUUUAUGAUUCCUCUGCCAAAAUCAUUUUGAAGGCCAUUGAGUGGGUCUUCAUGUGUACUGAGCUAUUUCCUGAUUCUUGACUGCAUUCUGGUUCUGGGAACUGGCCAAUUGGGGUGUUACCAUGGAGGGAUUUUUGGAGAUGGACAAAGGCAUCAUGAAGUAAAAUGCAAUAGCCAACUGUGUGUUUUUGUAACACUUUUGUCAAACAAAACUGUCAAGUCUUCAAAAAUCAGGUUUAAUCAUGUUCAUUAAGUACUCACU